rnacentral:rRNA from 1 species
UCCUACGGGGGGCAGCAGUGAGGAAUAUUGGUCAAUGGUCGGGAGACUGAACCAGCCAAGCCGCGUGAGGGAUGAAGGUACAGAGUAUCGUAAACCUCUUUUGUCAGGGAACAAAGGCGGGGACGUGUCCCCGGAUGAGUGUACCUGAAGAAAAAGCAUCGGCUAACUCCGUGCCAGCGGCCGCGGUAAUACGGAGGAUGCGAGCGUUAUCCGGAUUUAUUGGGUUUAAAGGGUGCGCAGGCGGUCUGUUAAGUCAGCGGUCAAAGCCCGGGGCUCAACCCCGGCCCGCCGUUGAAACUGGCAGG